GGAUCAGCGUAUCUAGCUCUGUGUGGAGCCUCAUGGUGUGUGGUGCCUACGUGCGUGGUCAUCAGAGAUUUUUGCCUUAACAGUAUCCAUAGGGCCUGCUGUGGCACUCCCUAGAGUGCCGCACGCAUACCGUGGUAUAUCAGAUGCCAUUGGCUCUAUGCGCUCUUGGUUCCAUCUUGCCGACAUCUCCAACAGAGGGGUAGGAGGGCAGGCAAUGGAACGAACAUGAAAAACACAUCUCAAAAGACAAUAGUUACGAAAGGGCUGAAGAGAAACCAUUCUGAAGCCAAUACUGGAUGCUUUAUAAAAUACCACUCUAAAUAUCUUUAGGACAAAUAUGGUUGAAUAUGUGUAUGUCUUGUGUCAUCUGUUACCUGCAAAAA